GGAGAGAUGCAGGAGUGGUUGAACUGGACAGUCUCGAAAACUGUUGUGCGGGCAACUGCACCGUGGGUUCGAAUCCCACUCUCUCCGCCA
rnacentral:tRNA from 1 species